CCCAACGCAUACAACCACUCAGCUCUGUUUACCCUCAGCGGAAAAUGUUUUUCUACUGGAAGAUUUCAACAGUUACAAGAACGUUUUACUUUGGAAAUUCAGCGAAGAGUGUAACAAUAAGAAGAAAAUCCGAUUUGGAAAAAAAUUGCAGCGACAGUAAACAGUGUCAAUCCCACCGUUGACAGAAGCAUCAAAGAAGUUCAGAAAAGAUAUACAAAUAUGGUACGAGACAAGACGCAAAGAAAGAAAUGUUUAAAAGAAGAAAUCAGGAGGAGGACCACAAAAAAAGCUUAAAGACACUACAGAAAUUGUAACGAAGAUGGGCAGUCGCCUUUUUUGGAGGAUAAAGACAGACAGUACGCGGGGUCAACAGCGGUGCCACUGAGGCUUCCCCAUCCACAUCGGCCAGCGUUGGCGCUGACAGCAGCCCACCAGCAGCCUCCCGAGAGGGACAGACAGAGACAAGUGACAGCCAAGAGAACACAGGAACACCUGGAACGGACAAAAUCUACCUUUCAUCACCAGAGGUUGAUAACAUCGGGCUUCAGAGAGGCCACGCUGACACAGGACAAAACAUACACAGCUGUCAGCAUUCCUGAUGGAGGGAGACAGGGAGGAGGAGAGAGGUGGACUGGACCCUCUGACAGUCAGAGGUGGAGGAGAAUGGAGCGAGAAAAAACAGACAGGUGACAUCAUCCAACUGUGCACAUGGCCAUUUGCCAAGUCGUGUCAAAUCCACAACCUUCACACCUCCUACGUACCGUGUCAGCAUGGAAAAGGACCUCUUUAAGUGAUCCUGUCACUAUAUCUCUUUCAUCUCCUGUUCGCUUUUUACAGCUGGCUUUAAGAUGCACACUCUUCAUUCUCAUUCGCUCCCCUUCAGUAGUCACUUUUUUUCCUUUUUUCCAUCUCUUUUCAGUGAUCUGUCUGCAUCUCUUUCCUCGCCUCCACUGCCACAUCUCUCUCCUUCCCUCUCUUUCUUUUCCUCUCCCACUCAGCUGACCCUGUGCAACUCCUCUGAUAUGACUCUUCCUUAAGCUCUCGCUCACCCUCAUCAGCCCGUCUUCCUCUUUCUCUCAGUCUCUCUCUCUCUUUCCUUGCUUUCAUCUGCCUGACGUCAGAGAGGAAAAAGAGACAGGCUCAGCCUCUCUGAUUGGUCAGAGAAGACAACACCCUCAGCCAAGGCUUACUGCCCUGAGUGGACGUUAGAGAAGUGUAACUUAAGUUCCACUGAAGAAUAAGUGUAGUGUUUGCACCUGCAAAGUGUGUUUCAUAUCAUAUGUGAGUGCAUACAGGUGCGCGUACACAUUUGUGUUUGUAUUAGUAUGUAUUUUAUGUUAAUCAAAUGAUCUGAGUGUGCGCUAUACCAAAGCAUUUAAGCAUGAAGAAUCAUUGUUGAAGCCAGGAGUGGUAGUUUGAUAAAAUAAUAAUAACUCAAGGUCAGCUGCAGAAACCAGCUCUCAACCACAUCUGACAGCCUUCAUCAGCGGAUGGAAUCAGCUCAGCUGUCAUCACAUAACAUAGUAUGAAACUAUGGUUGCUAUUAAACUAUAUUUAAUCAUAUAUAUAAUAUUAAUGUCACAGUUGUUGUAUCGAAAAAGACCAUUGUUUUUGCAAGUUUUAACUCGUUACUUGCUGCUGAGUAUUUAGCUUUAGAAUUUAUAAUGAAUCUUUUAUUACGUCUCAGCAGCAACUAAACCUCACUUUAUUUCUGUAUAGUCGGAAAAUUAAAUGAAAUGAAACACAUAUACGGACAUUCAUAACUUAAAGUUCCUCUCCAGACAGUUUUUUAAGCUAUGUAAAAAAUACUCUACUAUGAUUAAUUUUUUGUUUCACAUAGUUUUUCCCUCAUAAAAAGUAAAAAAAAAAAAAGAAAAGAGGUAAACAGGAGCUUGAAGCACAUCUGCUCUUACUUUCUCAUUGAGAAGUUCUGGAUCAGGCCUUGUGCCAGUGCGUAUCGAGAUGGUUAGUGAAGUAAACACCGCAGAGACUCAGCCACACGUUUGAGCCUCAGUCAGACCCAGACUCAGGAGUUUUUGAGGAGUGAGGAGUUUAUUGUUCAGCAGAUAUAUCAGAAAGGUUAGCGUAGUUACCGUCUUUUAUUUGUUUUGGUUGUUUGUUAGCUCACAACUGGCAGUGGUUGACACAGUGUUAGUGGUUGUGCUAAUGCAAACUCUCUUUCUCUGUACUGACAAGGUUUCGUGUUUAUUUUGCCCGCCCCCCUUCCCAGUAAGUUGACAGGUUUGGUUCCUCAGGUAUGACGUAUGAAGCCCUGGCUGUUUGAAUCCGUCUUAUGAGACAGUCACUCACUGCAAGAUGGAAACAUGCAGUCAUGGCAGUGACUGCUUAUUUCAGAGGGGGUCUUUAGAUAUUAAAAAAUAUUAAAGCAUCAUUCUGCUUUAUUACAGUAUUUUUUAUUAUCACUGCUGAUUAUUAUGUUUGGUGUGCACUGCGUUCCCUGACAACUGUAACUUUGACAAAAAUAAAUGCAUAGUUGAUGUUCACUGUGAUGGAUGGCACAGCGUAAGAAA